GAUGAGAUUAAAUGUAUGCGAUGAAAAGGUUCAAGUUUGGGGUUGUAUGGGGGAAAAUUGAGAAAAUCAAUUGUGAAGCAUUGAGCUCAAAUGUUGUGAAAAGAAAAAUUCAUGGGAAAAAGAAAAGAAAAGAAGAAAAGCAUGAAGGGGAGCUCAAUGAAAAAGAAAAGGGAAAAAAGUUGGGAAUGAGUGAGAUUGGUGAGGAAGAGAGUUGUGCCUAAUUUGUUAAAUAUUUUGAUAGCUCUCUUAACUCAAGGACUUUGUAUUCUGGAAAAACCAAUUUUUCUUGUUAGCCCAACCUCAUUACAACCUCAUUACAAGCCUUUGAUGUCAUUUUAGACCUAAUUACGUCCUUUACUACUUGGAAUGAGCUUAGAAUCAAGCAAAACUCAAUAAAUGAGUCUGUAGAGAGUCAAAAGCUGUUUUUA
rnacentral:lncRNA from 1 species